CUGUGCCCUCGAUCAUCCCACAACCACCACUCUCCUCUGCAGAAUCCCCCAGAGCACAGCUCCCCGCCAUGGACCAGACCUGGAGAAUCCUCUUCUUGGUGCUUGCUGCCACAGGUGCACACGCCCAGGAGCAGCUGGUGCAGUCUGGGGCUGAGCUGAGGAGGCCCGGGGCCUCAGUGAAGGUCUCCUGCAAGGCUUCAGGCUACUCUUUCAGCAGUUACUGGAUGAACUGGGUGCGACAGAGCCCUGGACAAGGACUAGAGUGGAUUGGAGAUAUCUACCCUGGUGAUGGUGAUACUGAUUAUGCUCAAAAGUUCCAAGCGAGGGUCACCCUCACCUCGGACAAGUCCUCCAGCACAGCCUACAUGGCGCUGAGCAGUUUGACGUCUGAGAACACAGCCGUGUAUUACUGUGCGAGACACAGUGUGGUCACCCACAUCCUGACUGUGUCAGAAACCCAGAGGGAGGAGCAGCUACCUAGAUGA